AACGAACGCUGGCGGCAUGCCUAACACAUGCAAGUCGAACGAGAUCUUCGGGUCUAGUGGCGCACGGGUGCGUAACGCGUGGGAAUCUGCCCUUUGGUUCGGAAUAACAGUUGGAAACGACUGCUAAUACCGGAUGAUGACGAAAGUCCAAAGAUUUAUCGCCAGAGGAUGAGCCCGCGUAGGGUUAGCUAGUUGGUGUGGUAAAGGCGCACCAAGGCGACGAUCCUUAGCUGGUCUGAGAGGAUGAUCAGCCACACUGGGACUGAGACACGGCCCAGACUCCUACGGGAGGAAGCAGUGGGGAAUAUUGGACAAUGGGCGAAAGCUUGAUCCAGCAAUGCCGCGUGAGUGAUGAAGGCCUUAGGGUUGUAAAGCUCUUUUACCCGGGAUGAUAAUGACAGUACCGGGAGAAUAAGCUCCGGCUAACUCCGUGCCAGCCGCCGCCGUAA
rnacentral:rRNA from 1 species